AGUUUAUUUCGGGAUUUAUUCGCCAGGGGGGUUGGUGCUCUUUGGAUUAUGUUUGGAUUACAUGAUUAAUCCCCUGAGAAGUUGUUAUAUAAUGAAUAAAUAUGCCUUUAAAAUUCAUUUCCUUUUGUAUAAUUUCCUUUUGAAAUGUAUCUGGACAUUCUCAAAUAUCAUUGAUGUUAGAUGAGAAUAUUAUUUUUAUUUCUUUUGUGAAAUAUGAUCUCUUAUCCAACUUAUAAAUUAAUUGUUAUUGCAACUUUCACAAGUUAUCAUCUCUGGAGGACACUUGUUCUGAUAAGGAUAUUGAUAACAAACAUCAAUUUAUGUUGAAUGAUGUAUGCAUUGGCAAUAUGAAUACUUGAUGCAGCUUUGGCUUAUAAACUGAAGGAUCUAAGUCUAAUACAAGGUAUAUUUCCAUGUAAUUUAGGAUAGAUCAGGAAUGGCCCAUUGAACCCUGUUCCUCAUCUGACAGCUGACUCUAUACAGUUCUGGGCAGUCUACAGUGAACAUUUGAAUACCUCUAUUGCUUAAUAGUCUCUGCUUGGAAAGUGCGUAAAACAAAAAGAAUAUUAUUGAUAAAUUGGCAGAAGUUUUAAAAUCUUACAUAUAAGGAGUUUGAAAAAAAUUUAGCCUGGUGUAACUGAAUCUCAUAAUUUUGAUCUUUUUAAAGUUUAACUUUACAAUUCAAUAAAUGACAUUGUUGCCAUUGCAAAGAGAAUUGAAUUUGAAGACAUAGAUGAAGUCAGCAUGGAUGAAUUACUUCAAUUCUAUACAGGAAAGUUCAUUAAUGGGUAUCUUCUUGAAUUGAAGAAAGAUUUAAAUGAAGAUGAUAAUGAACCCUGUAUAAAAGAGAGGGGUGUCAGAUGCAGUUCUUAUAGAGCAGCGGUUCUCAACCUGUGGGUCGCGACCCCUUCGGGGGUCGAACGAUCCUUUCACAGGGGUCGCCUAAGACCAUCAGAAAACACAUAUAUCUGAUGGUCUUAGGAAUCGAGACACCGCUCCUCUAUCCAUCUCCAGGCGGAUCCGCCCACA
rnacentral:lncRNA from 1 species